GCUUGUAUGGUGUAGCACGGUCCAUCAUCCCGCCCUUUCGAGGCGGUCACGCGGGUUCGAAUCCCGCUACGAGCACCA
rnacentral:tRNA from 1 species